AGACCAGACUCCUACGGGAGGCAGCAGUGAGGAAUAUUGGUCAAUGGGCGAGAGCCUGAACCAGCCAAGUCGCGUGAAGGAUGACGGCCCUACGGGUUGUAAACUUCUUUUGUCAGGGAGCAAUUGGGUCCACGCGUGGGCUUAGCGAGAGUACCUGAAGAAAAAGCAUCGGCUAACUCCGUGCCAGCAGCCGCGGUAAUACGGAGGAUGCGAGCGUUAUCCGGAUUUAUUGGGUUUAAAGGGUGCGCAGGCGUUGUAGGAGGGCGGUGGUAACCGCCGGGGCACCCCCCCCGCCCCGCCGUUGAAACUGGCAGUCUCGAGUUGGAGAGAAGUAUGCGGAAUGCGCGGUGUAGCGGUGAAAUGCAUAGAUAUCGCGCAGAACUCCGAUUGCGAAGGCAGCAUGCCGGCUCCACACUGACGCUGAGGCACGAAAGCGUGGGUAUCGAACAGGAUUAGAUACCCGUGUAAG
rnacentral:rRNA from 1 species